rnacentral:snoRNA from 1 species
GCCCUCUCAGGAUCACAUCUGGAGAGUUUACAGUACUCUACCAAUCUCAGCUACUGGAGGGAGAGUCAAGCAGAGGCAUACCCAUUCCAUUUCUAGCUUGGGUAGUGGCUAGUCAGUGGAAGGCAAUCUGCUACAAGU